GGCGGAUGUAGCCAGG
rnacentral:tRNA from 1 species